rnacentral:rRNA from 1 species
GGCCUUGCGCUCUUUGAGCGGCCGAUGUCAGAUUAGCUAGUUGGUGAGGUAAAGGCUUACCAAGGCGACGAUCUGUAGCGGGUCUGAGAGGAUGAUCCGCCACACUGGAACUGAGACACGGUCCAGACUCCUACGGGAGGCAGCAGUGGGGAAUUUUGGACAAUGGGGGCAACCCUGAUCCAGCCAUGCCGCGUGAGUGAAGAAGGCCUUCGGGUUGUAAAGCUCUUUCGGCCGGGAAGAAAUCGCAUGGGCCAAUACCCUGUGUGGAUGACGGUACCGGAAUAAGAAGCACCGGCUAACUACGUGCCAGCAGCCGCGGUAAUACGUAGGGUGCGAGCGUUAAUCGGAAUUACUGGGCGUAAAGCGUGCGCAGGCGGUUUUGUAAGACAGGCGUGAAAUCCCCGGGCUUAACCUGGGAACUGCGUUUGUGACUGCAAGGCUAGAGUACGGCAGAGGGGGGUGGAAUUCCGCGUGUAGCAGUGAAAUGCGUAGAGAUGUGGAGGAACACCAAUGGCGAAGGCAGCCCCCUGGGUCGAUACUGACGCUCAUGCACGAAAGCGUGGGUAGCAAACAGGAUUAGAUACCCUGGUAGUCCACGCCCUAAACUAUGUCAACUAGGUGUUGGGUGGGUAAAACCAUUUAGUACCGUAGCUAACGCGUGAAGUUGACCGCCUGGGGAGUACGGCCGCAAGGUUAAAACUCAAAGGAAUUGACGGGGACCCGCACAAGCGGUGGAUGAUGUGGAUUAAUUCGAUGCAACGCGAAAAACCUUACCUACCCUUGACAUGCUAGGAACUUGCCAGAGAUGGCUUGGUGCCCGAAAGGGAGCCUGGACACAGGUGCUGCAUGGCUGUCGUCAGCUCGUGUCGUGAGAUGUUGGGUUAAGUCCCGCAACGAGUGCAACCCUUGUCGUUAAUUGCCAUCAUUUAGUUGGGCACUUUAACGAGACUGCCGGUGACAAACCGGAGGAAGGUGGGGAUGACGUCAAGUCCUCAUGGCCCUUAUGGGUAGGGCUUCACACGUCAUACAAUGGUCGGUACAAAGGGUUGCCAAGCCGCGAGGCGGAGCCAAUCCCAGAAAGCCGAUCGUAGUCCGGAUUGCAGGCUGCAACUCGCCUGCAUGAAGUCGGAAUCGCUAGUAAUCGUGGAUCAGCAUGUCACGGUGAAUACGUUCCCGGGUCUUGUACACACCGCCCGUCACACCAUGGGAGCGGGUUCCGCCAGAAGUAGGUAGCCUAACCGCAAGGGGGGCGCUUACCACGGCGGGGUUCGUGACUGGGGUGAAGUCGUAACAAGGU